GAUGAAGAACGUAGCGAAAUGCGAUAAGUAAUGUGAAUUGCAGAAUUCAGUGAAUCAUCGAAUCUUUGAACGCACAUUGCGCCCGCCAGUAUUCUGGCGGGCAUGCCUGUUCGAGCGUCAUUUCAACCCUCAAGACCCCUUCGGGGGACUUGGUGUUGGGGACCGGCACAGGGGCCUGCCUGCUUGUCUUGCAGCGCCCUCGCCGCCCCCGAAAUGAAUUCGCGGCCUCGUCGCGGCCUCCCCUGCGUAGUAGCACAAACCUCGCAACGGGAACGUGACGGCGGCCACUGCCGUAAAACAACCCAAUUUUAUUAGAGUUGACCUCGAAUCAGGUAGGAAUACCCGCUGAACUUAAGCAUAUCAAUAAGCGGAGGA
rnacentral:misc_RNA from 1 species